AGCGCGACCGGAUCCACUCCCCUGGUGACGACGAGAUAGUCACGCAUCGUGAUGCCGUGCCGGUUCUC
rnacentral:sRNA from 1 species